AAGUCGUAACAAGGUUUCCGUAGGUGAACCUGCGGAAGGAUCAUUAUUGAAUUAGACGGGAAACGAGCUGGUUUCUACAAGUGCUCUUUCCCUGAUUCUUUAACCAUACACCUGUGAACUUGGGGAGACUCUUAAUUGAGACUCUCCUUAUUAUUAACAAACUCUCUAAUAAACUAUCGAACGUGAUUGUGCCGAAAGGCCUUAAUUUUAUAAACAACUUUUAACAACGGAUCUCUUGGCUCUC
rnacentral:misc_RNA from 1 species